AGAACAUUUUAAAGAGGGUUUGUGGAACCCAAACCAGGACCUCUUAACACUGUGACCAAAGAUUGAAGUUCUCCAUAGAAUGUAAUUGUCACUCAAUAGUGCUGUAUUUUCCUGGAGAAAUAAAAGA